GUUCGACUCGAGCGAAGCGAGAGAACGUUGCGCCAGCAACGGCCCGCAGGGCGAGCCACGAAGUGGCGAGUAAUCCUCUAUCACCGACCA
rnacentral:sRNA from 2 species